GAUGAACGCUGGCGGCGUGCCUAAUACAUGCAAGUCGAGCGAACGGACGAGAAGCUUGCUUCUCUGAUGUUAGCGGCGGACGGGUGAGUAACACGUGGAUAACCUACCUAUAAGACUGGGAUAACUUCGGGAAACCGGAGCUAAUACCGGAUGAUAUUUUGAACCGCAUGGUUCAAAAGUGAAAGACGGUCUUGCUGUCACUUAUAGAUGGAUCCGCGCUGCAUUAGCUAGUUGGUAAGGUAACGGCUUACCAAGGCAACGAUGCAUAGCCGACCUGAGAGGGUGAUCGGCCACACUAGAACUGAGACACGGUCCAGACUCCUACGGGAGGCAGCAGUAGGGAAUCUUCCGCAAUGGGCGAAAGCCUGACGGAGCAACGCCGCGUGAGUGAUGAAGGUCUUCGGAUCGUAAAACUCUGUUAUUAGGGAAGAACAUAUGUGUAAGUAACUGUGCACAUCUUGACGGUACCUACUCAGAAAGCCACGGCUAACUACGUG
rnacentral:rRNA from 1 species